GACGAACGCUGGCGGCGUGCCUAAUACAUGCAAGUAGAACGCUGAAGAGAGGAGCUUGCUCUUCUUGGAUGAGUUGCGAACGGGUGAGUAACGCGUAGGUAACCUGCCUGGUAGCGGGGGAUAACUAUUGGAAACGAUAGCUAAUACCGCAUAAAAUUGAUUAUUGCAUGAUAAUUAAUUGAAAGAUGCAACUGCAUCACUACCAGAUGGACCUGCGUUGUAUUAGCUAGUUGGUGAGGUAACGGCUCACCAAGACGACGAUACAUAGCCGACCUGAGAGGGUGAUCGGCCACACUGGGACUGAGACACGGCCCAGACUCCUACGGGAGGCAGCAGUAGGGAAUCUUCGGCAAUGGGGGGAACCCUGACCGAGCAACGCCGCGUGAGUGAAGAAGGUUUUCGGAUCGUAAAGCUCUGUUGUAAGAGAAGAACGGGUGUGAGAGUGGAAAGUUCACACUGUGACGGUAUCUUACCAGAAAGGGACGGCUAACUACGUG
rnacentral:rRNA from 1 species